rnacentral:piRNA from 1 species
UGAUUAAGAUGGUCCAUCUACUGGUC